AAUUCACUAUUUUAGCGAUGUCGAAGGGGUUUGUGUCCUACCAUAUUUAAAAGUGUUACUGCCAUAGAUCUAAGUGCCGUUUAACAUGCCGCGUGUUUUAGUUAUGUGAACAAAUAUCUGCUGCAGUGUAGCUCAGAGAGACGUUAAAAUUAUAUUGUAAUCAAAAUGACUCGUAAAUACAGGCGGAAAUCUGGCGUGAUUCCACGCCACAUAACAUGGACAGAAGAAUGUUUGGAAAGGGUAUUCUAAGAAAUUGAUAAAAAGGAAAAGAUCAAUAACUAUGUCAAUAUUACCAGCAGUCAAACUGAAUCUGGUUUAAAAACAACUAUAGGAAAAGCCACCAAAGGAAUAUCAAUAAAACAGAAGAGAGACGAAAAUUCGAUAAAAGACUCUGAAAAGAUAUUAAAAGUGUAAAACGCUAAUUCUGAAAUGGAAAAUACGAAUAAAAAAUCAUUAGUUUAUGAUUACUGUGUAGAAUGAUUUGAAAAUUACAAUUUUACCAAAUUAAAAUCGGAUUGGAUCCAACGUGUGAUGUGUCAAAUGUGGUUGCUUGAAACUUGUACAACAUUCAAAAAACAAUGCCUAAGAUGUGGAAAGCUAAGUACCCUGGCUUCUGGUGACU